CGAACGCUGGCGGCAGGCUUAACACAUGCAAGUCGAACGCCCCCUUCGGGGGGAGUGGCAGACGGGUGAGUAACGCGUGGGAACCUACCUAUCAGUACGGAACAACUCAGGGAAACUUGUGCUAAUACCGUAUACGUCCUUCGGGAGAAAGAUUUAUCGCUGAUAGAUGGGCCCGCGUUAGAUUAGCUAGUUGGUGAGGUAACGGCUCACCAAGGCGACGAUCUAUAGCUGGUCUGAGAGGAUGAUCAGCCACACUGGAACUGAGACACGGUCCAGACUCCUACGGGAGGCAGCAGUGGGGAAUAUUGGACAAUGGGCGCAAGCCUGAUCCAGCCAUGCCGCGUGAGUGAUGAAGGCCCUAGGGUUGUAAAGCUCUUUCAACGGUGAAGAUAAUGACGGUAGCCGUAGAAGAAGCCCCGGCUAACUUCGUGCCAGCAGCCGCGGUAAU
rnacentral:rRNA from 1 species